rnacentral:rRNA from 1 species
AGGAUGAACGCUGGCGGCGUGCCUAAUACAUGCAAGUCGAGCGAUGAGGCUCCUUCGGGAGUACUCAGCGGCGAACGGGUGAGUAACACGUAGGUGACUUGCCCCGAAGAUGGGGAUAACCUCUGGAAACGGGGGCUAAUACCCAAUGUGCUCGGUGAUUCGGUUGAUCGAGUAAAGCUCCGGCGCUUCGGGAGAGGCCUGUGGCCCAUCAGCUAGUUGGUAGGGUAACGGCCUACCAAGGCAGAGACGGGUAGGGGGCGUGAGAGCGCGGACCCCCACACUGGCACUGCGACACGGGCCAGACUCCUACGGGAGGCAGCAGUAAGGAAUAUUGCGCAAUGGACGAAAGUCAGACGCAGCGACGCCGCGUGGGCGAUGAAGGCCUUCGGGUUGUAAAGCCCUUUUAUGGGGGAAGAGAAAAAGGACGGUACCCCAUGAAUAAGUCCCGGCUAACUACGUGCCAGCAGCCGCGGUAAAACGUAGGGGACAAGCGUUAUCCGGAUUCACUGGGCGUAAAGAGCGUUGAGGCGGUUCCGUAAGUUGGGCGUGAAAGCUCCGGGCUUAACCCGGAGAUGUCGUUCAAUACUGCGGGGCUUGAGGACAGCAGAGGAAGGUGGAAUUCCCGGUGUAGUGGUGACAUGCGUAGAUCUCGGGAGGAACACCCGUGGCGAAGGCGGCCUUCUGGGCUGUUCCUGACGCUGAAGGCGAAAGCUAGGGGAGCGAACGGGAUUAGAUACCCCGGUAGUCCUAGCUGUAAACGAUGGAUGCUGGGU